UGACGCCUCGGAGCCGAGAUCCAUGGCAUCGGGGAUGGAUAAUGGAUUACGCUGUACCACCCCCUUCCCCCUGCUUGUCUGAGGCCGUGGAUUAGUGAUGCCGCAAUUGGGCACCGGGCUUGAGCGCGACCAGCCCAUUCUUUCGUCUUGAUCUGCGCGAUUGAUAUAGUAACCUGACUUGUGGCCACUUGUUUGAUCACGUCGAUGGUGAGGGCGGGUCGCUGCCUGCCCUGGGAUUGGGGUCAGAUCGUUCGGUACCUAUCUCCUGCCUCUCCUCAUGAUUGUCGCUGCCAGCCACUUCUCAGGUUCCGGUGCCGGAAACGUCAGGAUCUGCUAAGAUUGGGGACAUACAUGACUGAUCUAAGCUCCAGUAACUAAACCUCGUGCCUUUUGUUUUAACCGAGGAUUCUCUAGGAUUUCGUGUGCUCAUUAGCCAUAUUGGCCUCGCUGAUCUAUUGGGGCACUUAAGUAUACCCCUUGCAAACAUUGCAUCCAUGCUCUUUCAUACUAAAUACAGACCUGACUAGCUAGAUGUCUCUGUCUGCAAGUCUGUCUAUAUUUGGUGCUUGGUGGCAAACGGCUGACGAGCUUAUGUUGGUUCUUUAAUCUUUAUAAUGUAAUAACUUAGCAUACUAGUGUGUUAGAUAGACUGCAUUCCAUUCCAAACUAAUUAAAACAGAAAGAAAAAGUUACUGUUACUCUGAUGAACUUGAUGGGAGUUAGAUCCUGGAUUUUUCUGGAACAUGAAGCACCCAAGCUUCCUGUCAGCUCAAUCAGUUUAUCUAUGCCAUAGGAAAUUCCUCAUACUGAUUUUCUGCCCUGUAUAUAACAGUGCGUGCAAUGUCGUGUGAGUCCGAAUACACACCUAUUUGACACACAACGUUUCCACCUGCAGUAAUAGUGAAAAUGGUCGGUUCAGUUAUGGAGUUGCAAGUUCUCCCGGGAAAAGAGCAUCGAUGGAGGACUUCUAUGAGGCAAGGAUAGACGACGUUGACGGAGAGAAAGU
rnacentral:lncRNA from 1 species